GCCUUGGUAGCAUAGUGGUAAUGCACUGGACUGAAGUUCUAGGCAGUAAGAGUUCGAUUCUCUUCCAAGGCA
rfam:Rhodotorula toruloides ATCC 204091 scaffold00027, whole genome shotgun sequence.